UACGUAGGGGGCAAGCGUUGUCCGGAAUCAUUGGGCGUAAAGAGCGUGUAGGCGGCUCGAUAAGUCUGCUGUGAAAGUCCAGGGCUCAACCCUGGAAGGCCGGUGGAAACUGUCGGGCUAGAGUCCGGAAGAGGCGAGUGGAAUUCCCGGUGUAGCGGUGAAAUGCGCAGAUAUCAGGAGGAACACCGGUGGCGAAGGCGGGUCUCUGGGCCGAAACUGACGCUGAGGAGCGAAAGCGUGGGGAGCAAACAGG
rnacentral:rRNA from 1 species